rnacentral:rRNA from 1 species
CAGCAGUGAGGAAUAUUGGUCAAUGGGCGGGAGCCUGAACCAGCCAAGUCGCGUGAGGGAAGACGGUCCUAUGGAUUGUAAACCUCUUUAGGCGGGGAGCAAUGCCGGGCACGCGUGCCCGGAGGGAGAGUACCCGCAGAAUAAGCAUCGGCUAACUCCGUGCCAGCAGCCGCGGUAAUACGGAGGAUGCGAGCGUUAUCCGGAUUUAUUGGGUUUAAAGGGUGCGUAGGCGGAUUUUUAAGUCAGCGGUAAAAUGUCCGGGCUCAACCCGGGCCGGCCGUUGAAACUGGGGAUCUUGAGUGGGCGAGAAGUAUGCGGAAUGCGUGGUGUAGCGGUGAAAUGCAUAGAUAUCACGCAGAACUCCGAUUGCGAAGGCAGCAUACCGGCGCCCGACUGACGCUGAGGCACGAAAGCGUGGGGAUCGAACAGGAUUAGA